GGUUUCCACAUCAUGGAUGGGUGUAGGUAAAGAAGUUAGUCCUGUCACAUCGAAGCUCAGAUAGGGUGCAAAAGAGGUAACGAUUUCAGCAUCUUGAUGGAUGAGUGUGGGUAAAGAAGUUAGUCUAGGAGAGUAGGAUUUGUCUCGGUAGUUAAAACAUAGGAUCAUUGAUUAAAAAAUCAAUGAGCUUGUGGAUACUAUGAAGAGGAGGAGGGUUGUCAUUGCUUGUGUUCAAGAAACUAAGUAGAUGAAGGAAAAGGCGCGAGAGAUUGUUACACGGGUUACAUGUUGUGCUACUUCGUGUUUUGAGAAAUUGCGUAGGAAUCAUAGUAGAAUCAGGACUAAAAGAUAAGGUGGUGCAAAUGAAGAGAACUAGUGAUGUGAUUAUCUCUUUGAAAUUAGUGUUGGGAAAGGAGACUAUUAUGCUUCUCAAGUAGAUAUUGAUGAGGAAGCUAAAAACAAGUUCUAGGGAAGGUAUGGAUGUGUUGGUUCAAGGAAUUCUCAAUGAUUGCAAGAUUUUUGUAAUAGUAACAACGAUUUUGAAUGGUUGCAUGGAGGAUUCGAAUAUGGGAGUAGGAAUAAGGAAGGGAAGACCAUUUUAGAAUUUACUUUGGCUUAUGAUAUGGUUUUGGCAAACCCUUUUUUGAGCAAAAGAAAUCACACUUGAUUAUCUUUAAGAGUUGAGGUAACUAUAGCCAAAUAGGCUUCUUCUUCACAAGAAAAGGGGACAAAGCUUUAUGUAAGAAUUGCACAUUAUUUUUGGUGAGGCUUUGACUACUCAUCACAUGCUAGUGAUAUUUAGAUGUGAAGAUAAAAAGCAAAGUGAAGAAAGAAAAGAGAUUUAUGCAAAUUAAAAUUCAAUGGUGAAACUCAAAAGGCACAAAUCAAAUAACUUUCACGGAGAAGCUAUAUUAAAGGCAUAUGGAAUUUAGAUGAUAACGUUGAUAGCGCAUGAAGGGUGAUAGCAAGCUACAUUAAGAAAGUAGCAGUGGAUGUACUAGGUUUAUCCAAAGGUAGAGGACCAUGCCUACAAGAGCCUUGGUGGAGUGAGAAUGUUCAAAAGGCUAUUAAGAUGAGAAGAGAAUGUUAUAGAAAGUUAACGAAGGCAAAAGAUGGAAGGCCUUUGAGAAAUAUAAGUUGGUAAGUAAGGAAGCUAAGAAAGCAAUUAGUAAAGCUCGUGGUAAAUCUCUAGCCAAUUUGUAUCAAAAAUUGGGGACAUAGGAGGGGGAGAAGAUGCACUAACUAGCACGGCUGAAGGAAAAGAGAUGAGAGAUUUAUUUCAGCUCUAGUGCAUUAAAGUUGAUAAUCAACAUGUUUUGUUACGAAAUGGUGAGAUCAAAGAGAAUGGAGAUGCUACUUUAAUCAAUUGUUCAAUGCGAGUCAUGAGGAUGAUUUUACAAUCCUUAAUAUUCCUCUUUGAUACUUCAACUCUUCAUUUUUCCAUGCCGUACCAGUGUUGACACGACACAAUAUGGAAUAUGUGUUCGACACAUUUAUGUAGUCAUACACUCGAGUGACAGAAAUCUCUAAAGAUGAAAAACAUAGUUAAUAGAGCAUUGUUUUCUCUCAAGAUGAAGGGCAUGGUUGUAUUUUGGAUGAUCUAUCUGGACAAUAGUUAUUUGGUUGUAUUUAGUUAAUUUAUAUGGUUGCAUUUUGGAUGAUCUAUUUAGACAAUAGUUAUAUGGUUAUUUUUGGGAUGAUUUGUUUGGUUGUAUUUGAUGAUCUAUUUAGACAAUAGUUAUAUGGUUAUUUUUGGGAUGAUUUGUUUGGUUGUAUUUGAUGAUCUAUUUAGACAAUAGUUAUAUGGUUAUUUUUGGGAUGAUUUGUUUGGUUGUAUUU
rnacentral:misc_RNA from 1 species